rnacentral:rRNA from 1 species
GUGGGGAAUAUUGGACAAUGGGGGGAACCCUGAUCCAGCCAUGCCGCGUGUGUGAAGAAGGCCUUUUGGUUGUAAAGCACUUUAAGCGAGGAGGAGGCUACCGAGAUUAACACUCUUGGAUAGUGGACGUUACUCGCAGAAUAAGCACCGGCUAACUCUGUGCCAGCAGCCGCGGUAAUACAGAGGGUGCAAGCGUUAAUCGGAUUUACUGGGCGUAAAGCGCGCGUAGGUGGCCAAUUAAGUCAAAUGUGAAAUCCCCGAGCUUAACUUGGGAAUUGCAUUCGAUACUGGUUGGCUAGAGUAUGGGAGAGGAUGGUAGAAUUCCAGGUGUAGCGGUGAAAUGCGUAGAGAUCUGGAGGAAUACCGAUGGCGAAGGCAGCCAUCUGGCCUAAUACUGACACUGAGGUGCGAAAGCAUGGGGAGCAAACAGGAUUAGAAACCCUAGUAGUCC